GUCAACUACCCCACCCUAAAGGGUGGGGCUUGCAAACGGCUACGCGAGACUAAACAGUUAGACUAGGAGGCAAGCAAUUGCAGCAGCGUUACGGGCUACAAGAACGGCAGAGUGUUUCCCUAGUUCUGCCCUCUUCCGGGCACGCCGACCCCGAAGUGCUUUUUGGAGCACUACGCCUGUCUCGCAACUCCGAAGGGAAAUGUUACCCCGGCCUGACCGGG
rnacentral:sRNA from 1 species